GGCAAAUAUUAAAGGACAGUCAUACUCCUACUGCCAAAUGAGUCAUUUAUCUAAAAGCUAUGAGAAACCAAUGGAAGAUUCUGAAACCCAAGUCUGAGGUGCUUCCCUCCAUCACAUCAUUUCUCCAUAAUGUUCUGCCCCACCUUGAGUCUGACAUCUAUGGACUGAGACCUCUGAAACUGCUUUAAAUGCAGCAAGAAUAUGAAUUAAGGGAACUUCAAGUGAACACAAAGACUGAGAGAAGAACAUGCCUGAGUCUUGGAUCUACCAAGGACAUGAUUGUAUCCAUUUAUUCAACAAAUAUGAUUGAUUAGUUACCAACUACACAAUCACAGUCGAUUGGUUAACAACUUCAUAGAAUACUGAACAAGUUUCUGUUGAUAUAGCAGGUGGACAAACUCUCAUUUCUCAUGUAGCUAACCUAUGGCGAGGAAUGGCAGGCAAUAUAAUAAAGGCAAGUGAAUAUAGGAGAUAACAUCAGUUCAGGCAAAUUCUUUGAAGAAAAUAAAAUACAAUAUAGUUCUAGAAAGUGACUGGUGUCAACAUAAAUAAGGUGAUACAGGUAUAUUUAACUUGAGAA